CCUACGGGAGGCAGCAGUGAGGAAUAUUGGUCAAUGGGCGGGAGCCUGAACCAGCCAAGUCGCGUGAGGGAAGAAGGUACUACGGAUUGUAAACCUCUUUUGUCAGGGAACAAAGGCGGGCACGAGUGCCCGGAUGAAGGUACCUUAAGAAAAAGGAUCGGCUAACUCCGUGCCAGCAGCCGCGGUAAUACGGAGGAUGCGAGCGUUAUCCGGAUUUAUUGGGUUUAAAGGGUGCGCGGGCGGAUUUUUAAGUCAGCGGUAAAAUGGUGGGGCUCAACCCCAUCCAGCCGUUGAAACUGGGGAUCUUGAGUGCGCGAGAGGUAUGCGGAAUGCGUGGUGUAGCGGUGAAAUGCAUAGAUAUCACGCAGAACCCCGAUUGCGAAGGCAGCAUACCGGUGCACCACUGACGCUCAGGCACGAAAGCGUGGGUAUCGAACAGGAUUAGAUACCCUAGUAGUC
rnacentral:rRNA from 1 species